rnacentral:rRNA from 1 species
UGGGGAAUUUUGGACAAUGGGCGAAAGCCUGAUCCAGCAAUGCCGCGUGUGUGAAGAAGGCCUUCGGGUUGUAAAGCACUUUUGUCCGGAAAGAAAUCCUUGGCUCUAAUACAGUCGGGGGAUGACGGUACCGGAAGAAUAAGCACCGGCUAACUACGUGCCAGCAGCCGCGGUAAUACGUAGGGUGCAAGCGUUAAUCGGAAUUACUGGGCGUAAAGCGUGCGCAGGCGGUUUGCUAAGACCGAUGUGAAAUCCCCGGGCUCAACCUGGGAACUGCAUUGGUGACUGGCAGGCUAGAGUAUGGCAGAGGGGGGUAGAAUUCCACGUGUAGCAGUGAAAUGCGUAGAGAUGUGGAGGAAUACCGAUGGCGAAGGCAGCCCCCUGGGCCAAUACUGACGCUCAUGCACGAAAAGCGUGGGGAGCAAACAGGAUUAGAUACCCUGGUAGUCCCACGCCCUAAACGAUGUCAACUAGUUGUUGGGGAUUCAUUUCCUUAGUAACGUAGCUAACGCGUGAAGUUGACCGCCUGGGGAGUACGGUCGCAAGAUUAAAACUUAAAUGAAUUGACGGGGUCAUAGCUG